rnacentral:rRNA from 1 species
AUUGAACGCUGGCGGAAUGCUUUACACAUGCAAGUCGAACGGCAGCACGGACUUCGGUCUGGUGGCGAGUGGCGAACGGGUGAGUAAUACAUCGGAACGUGCCCAGUCGUGGGGGAUAACGUAGCGAAAGCUACGCUAAUACCGCAUACGAUCUAAGGAUGAAAGCGGGGGAGCGCAAGACCCCGCGCGAUUGGAGCGGCCGAUGGCAGAUUAGGUAGUUGGUAGGGUAAAGGCCUACCAAGCCGACGAUCUGUAGCUGGUCUGAGAGGAUGAUCAGCCACACUGGGACUGAGACACGGCCCAGACUCCUACGGGAGGCAGCAGUGGGGAAUUUUGGACAAUGGGCGCAAGCCUGAUCCAGCCAUUCCGCGUGCAGGAUGAAGGCCUUCGGGUUGUAAACUGCUUUUGUACAGAACGAAAAGGCUCUGGUUAAUACCCGGGGCUCAUGACGGUACUGUAAGAAUAAGCACCGGCUAACUACGUGCCAGCCGCCGCAGUAA